UACAGAAAUCAAUGUAUUUAGUUAAAUUUCAAUCACAUUUUGUCUCUACAGUGUAAAAUAGUUAUUCAUCUAUAUUCUUAAAACUAUGCUGAAAAGAGACAGACUGAAAACGUUUGCACACGAAGUUGUGAAAACACAUUUAUUCAGGAAGGGCAUAAAUUGUCCACCUGACAACUUGUAGUAUAGCUGUAUAUUACCUGUAUUGUAAGAAUGAUUUUCAUGAGGUUUUUGUGGGUGAAAAAGUAGGUCACUAGGUCGUGGUGGGUCUUUAAGAUCUCUCCACAGCCAGACUAACUUUGAACACUUACGUAGAAUACAUAUUAACCAAUAUAGUGGCACUAACCUAUAAUUCAAAGACUGAUUAUUUCAGGUAAUUUGCAUCCUUGGAGAAACACGCGCGCCUUUGAAUAUAAAUGGCGUAUUCCCUGCAUAUGGGUUUGGUGAUUCUAAGUGUAAAGACAAAACUGUUUUUGAACUAAACCCUGAGAAAAAGUGCGAAUGUUUCAGUGAUGUGCUAGAUGCAUACAACAAAGUGACACCAACAAUAAAACUUGGAGAACCGACCGACUUUGCCCCAUUGAUAUUUACAGCUAUUGAGAUAGUUAAAGAAACAAGUGAGUAUCACGUUCUUGUUAUUGUUGCAGACGGCCAAGUCGCGUAUGAUACUCCUACGAAAACUGCUCUAAUAGAAGCUUCACAUUAUCCGCUUUCCAUAAUUGUUGUUGGGGUAGGCGAUGGACCGUGGGGAUCCAUGAAGACGUUUGAUGAUGGUCUAACGGAGAGAGUUUUUGAUAAUUUUCAGUUUGUAAACUUUCAUGAAGUGAUGAAAGGCGCAGAAAAUCCCGAGGCUUCAUUUGCAUUGCAUGCUUUGAUGGAAAUACCAGAACAAUACAGAUACCUCAAACAGAAAGGUCUUGUUCACUAACAAACUGAAACAAACUAUACGGAACCUCUUACACCUAAAACGGUUGCAUUUGACGUAUAUACGGAGCUUAAGUUUUUUUUAAUCGAAUAUGUACACUAUGAUUAAAACCCUUAUUUUGCUUGGCCUUGAAACUACCUUUACACGUCUAACUGAAAGCAAAUAACUUCUGAAUACAUAAUAUAAUUAAGCACAAAAUAAAUAUUCUGAAUGGUUACUCGACGAGACAGAACAUAUAAAACACAGGCAGCCAAUACCUGACGUUGUAUCAACGUUGGCUAUUUUGGAGUCAUAACCACGACGUAAGAUUUUGGUUAUAGCAUAGUUCUUGUAGUUUAAAAAUAUUUAGCAGGCCAUGAAAAUACGCUAAAAUCUUGUAAAUAAUAUUUCAUUAGUACACUGAAAAUUGUAACUUAAUGGAAUUGCGUUAUCGACUAUUUUCUAAAUUAGCGUAAACAGAUCAUUUCUUUCAAAUACUUAAAACUGUUCCAGAAUGUAUGCACGUUGAUUCAUCAGUGCAUUUAUAACAUAAAUUUAUUGAUAUAUUUAUAUGUUAUAAAUGAUAUAAUAUUUUUUUCUGACGAAUUCAACAGAGUGAUUGAAAGAGAUACAUUUAUUGUCGUGAAAUUUAUAUAAUUAACUAGAGCUGAAACAAACAAUAUAAAUUGAUCAAUAUUUAUAUUUCAUUUGGCUAAUUUAGUAACUGUAAAGCUUAAGAACAUACAAGGAAUAUUUGGCUUAUGAAAAAAUAAGGUCGUGUUCUUAUAUUUUUCGCCAGAUUGAUUUUAGAAGUAUUUGUUUUAAUGGGAAUCUAUGGGAAAACUACAAUUUUAUGACAUUUUGGCGAAGAGAAAAUUUUCUUCAACACACAUUUAAAUGAAUUUUUUCAUAAUAUAAAGUUAACAUUAAUGGCUAUUAUAUGGUUAAAUAAAUUGUAUAGUCCAUGUGUGUUUUUGAGAUAUUUGCUCUUGUGGGAGUAAAGAUAGUUCAACGUCAUUUGCAGCGCGGGAGUCAUCUUACAUCAUACAUCAUAAGAUGAAGUUUCCCAGCACCGGAGGAAACAAGAAUAUGUUGUCCCUAGCCCUAUGUCAAAUCAUAUAAUUUCGUUAUUCGUUGGUGUUCUAUAUGUCUUUAUCUAGGCAAUUUGUUUCUAAUCAGUCAUAUAUAACUAUGAAUUGAUUUCAUUCAACGCUAAAAUCUCAUCGUCGACGAUUAGAUUGUACUUAUUUACCUCGAAAUACAUGAAUAAGAAUAUAUCUAUAUACAUCUAUGAAUUUACAGAUUUUAGAAUUUGAAAAGAAAACGACUAAAUAAAAGGAAUACUUCAUUUGAA